CUACGGAGGGUGCAAGCGUUACUCGGAAUCACUGGGCGUAAAGCGCGCGCAGGCGGCUUGAUAAGUUGGAUGUGAAAGCCUACGGCUCAACCGUAGAACUGCAUCCAAAACUGUCAGGCUAGAGUCUGGGAGGGGAAGAUGGAAUUAGUUGUGUAGGGGUAAAAUCCGUAGAGAUAACUAGGAAUACCAAAAGCGAAGGCGAUCUUCUGGAACAGUACUGACGCUGAGGCGCGAAAGCGUGGGGAGCAAACAGGAUUAGAUACCCCAGUAGUCC
rnacentral:rRNA from 1 species